GAUGAAGAACGUAGUGAAAUGCGAUAAGUAUUGUGAAUUGCAGAAUCCAGUGAAUCAUCGAAUCUUUGAACGCACAUUGCGCCCCCUGGUAUUCCGGGGGGCAUGCCUGUCCGAGCGUCAUUACAACCCUCAAGCUCAGCUUGGUGUUGGGCCCCGCCGCCCCGGCGGGCCCUAAAGUCAGUGGCGGUGCCGUCCGGCUCCGAGCGUAGUAAUUCUUCUCGCUCUGGAGGUCCGGUCGUGUGCUCGCCAGCAACCCCCAAUUUUUUUCAGGUUGACCUCGGAUCAGGUAGGGAUACCCGCUGAACUUAAGCAUAUCAAUAAGCGGAGGA
rnacentral:misc_RNA from 1 species